UACGUAGGGUGCGAGCGUUAAUCGGAAUUACUGGGCGUAAAGCGUGCGCAGGCGGUUUUGUAAGCCAGAUGUGAAAUCCCCGGGCUUAACCUGGGAAUGGCAUUUGGGACUGCAAGGCUCGAGUGCGGCAGAGGAGACUGGAAUUCCUGGUGUAGCAGUGAAAUGCGUAGAUAUCAGGAGGAACACCGAUGGCGAAGGCAGCCCCCUGGGGUAACACUGACGCUCAUGCACGAAAGCGUGGGGAGCAAACAGG
rnacentral:rRNA from 1 species